CAUAUCACUUUGAAACACAGGUUUCCAUACGAUCAUCGAGGUUAAGCAACGUCAAGCCUAUUCAGUACCUAGAUGGGUGAGCACUUUCGAAUACCAGGUGCU